AAAUAACUACUUGUUAAUUCCACUAAAGAAAUAUAUUUCGAGUAUGUUAGGAUAUUCUUUAUUUUUAUUUGGUAUCUAGAAAUUUUGAUGAAUAAGCACAAAACCUGACAUAGUAAAUGGUAUUAAUGUGAACCCCAUGGACUCUUUAUAUUGUACUACAUUUCUUCCUCUAAUGAGGUGACAUCCUUUGACUCUGAAAAAAAUUAAUACUAUUACUAUUUGGGCCUUUUUUAUACCAAAUAAGGAAAUGAACAAAUUCUUGAAAUUGUAAGGUUUCAAGAUGUUUUUGCGUCACAAGAAAAUAUGGUUCUUUGCAAAGCAAACUCAUGUCACUAAGUAGACUUUUUAUACACAAAUGCAAUGGGUGGUUAUUGUUUUAGAAUACGAGUUUCUAGAAACAUGUGCUGCAUGCCUGAUUGACUUAAAAUUUUGUUCGAAUGGUAUUUCAAUACUGUUCAGAACAAAUCUUAAACAUUUUCCUAAAAAAUGUACACACUGCAUGUAUUUUAGGUGAUUGGCUUCCUCAGGGAUGGUACCAUUCAGACAGGACUGGGAGACUUUCGUCACCUACGUUUCAUCAGAUGAAGUCACUAAGGUAACUUAAAGGCUAAUAGAAAAAGUUGAAGAAAGAUACACUUUGGUUUAUAAUAAGAAAGUUUCCCACCACUUGCAUCACUGUCUAAUAAGGUCAGAGGCAGUAGAGCAGAAACUGAAUGAUGCUCGGCCAGCAACACCCUAGAGAGAGUAGGGCUUUGGAAGUAACAUUAGAUGAGCCCUGGUGUUCCUUCUAACCAUCGGAUUCUAGGAUAACUAAGCACAAUGAGGCUGCUGGAGAGUUUCUCUUGUGUUAGGUGAGGCUAGGUGGCCAAGAAGCAAAUUCAAGUAGUUAUGAAUAAUGAUGAUGAUGAUGAUGAUGAUAGCAAAAAGUAAACUUGGGGAACGAUGUGACACUUCAGUUGGAGGUCUGAUCGUACAGUUAUUUUUGACAAAGGCAGGCUGAAGUAAAGCUGACUGUCAGGAGCCAGGAUUUGAGAACAUUUCUACAGCAUCUCAAAGAAAAACCAAAGGCAGCCCUGACAUGGCCAAUGGUUUGAUCAAUGUUUAAACUGAAAGGAACUCUUUAAUGCAUGAAACUCUACAUCUAUUUGGCAACACUGUGCCCAGAAACAGACUCUCAUAUGUGAAAAAGAAUGAGAUCGUCCUUAAAUAUUUUCCCAUCUCCAUAAUCAGAGGUAGUUGUGUUGCUCGUGGAAACAGGAUUCUUUCAAGGCAUUGCAUGAAAGGCAUUUCAAGGAUACACGCAUAGGAGGAUGGGUGGUAUUGUGGCAAGGUUUAUUGGAACAAAAAGAAAGGACUGCCCCCAGGUGUCCGAUGUCUCAUCCAGGACCAGCUGGCUCAGCUCUGUCUCUCUGAGGAAGAAGUCCACCUCUGGGUCCUGAGACGCGUACUUGUCCUCUCCAAGCCCAGAAGAA